GUGCUUAUUUUGGCAGCACAUAUACUAAAGUUGGAAUGAUACAGAGAAGAUUAGCAUGGCCCCUGCGAAUGAUGACAUGCAAAUUUGUGAAGUGUUCCGUAUUUUU
rnacentral:snRNA from 1 species